rnacentral:tRNA from 1 species
GCCGAGGUGGUGAAAUUGGCAGACACGCUGGACUCAAAAUCCAGUGGGCGCAAGCCCAUGCGGGUUCGACCCCCGCCCUCGGCACCA